rnacentral:tRNA from 1 species
CGGGGCGUAGCGCAGCUUGGUAGCGCACACGGCUGGGGGCCGUGCGGUCGCAGGUUCAAAUCCUGUCGCCCCGACAA